UACGUAGGUCCCGAGCGUUGUCCGGAUUUAUUGGGCGUAAAGCGAGCGCAGGUGGUUUAAUAAGUCUGAUGUGAAAGCCCCCGGCUCAACCGGGGAGGGUCAUUGGAAACUGGAGAACUUGAGUGCAGAAGAGGAGAGUGGAAUUCCACGUGUAGCGGUGAAAUGCGUAGAUAUGUGGAGGAACACCAGUGGCGAAGGCGACUCUCUGGUCUGUAACUGACGCUGAGGCUCGAAAGCGUGGGGAGCAAACAGG
rnacentral:rRNA from 1 species